UCCAUGUAGUUGGGAAGUAACUUCAGAAAGAGAAAAUACAGUUCCGUCAGGGUCACAAGAUGGCUGCCAUGGUCAGAUGUCACAAACCCAUAUGGCAGUGUUCUCAGCAGGAAGGACGGGGGGAAGGCUCCUUUUUAUCAGGUGAUGCCAAUGCCUCUCCUGCUCAGAUCACAUUUUGAAUAGCAAGGGACUGGAACACAUCAUCACAGGUAUACAUACAUAUUAGAGAUGCACAGUAUGUACAUACACACAUGGAUUUGGGUAUACUUAUGAGUGCAAAAAGUCAUUUGUUCAUUUGUUUAGACAAAUUUUGAGUGUAUUGUUUUAGGGUAGGUACUGUACACAUAUAGACAUACACUUUUUAGGACUGAUCUUUGCAAAUGGAUUUUAAAAGCACAAAAGAUUUCUUUGCUUCCCCAAGGCAUUCCAUCAUUCUCUAGUACUGAUCUCUAUAAAUGGCCUUGCUCUCCUACUCUUAGUUACUAGCUGACUUUAGGAUGG